ACCUGGCUUGGUGGCGCAUGCCUGUAAUCCUAGCAACUCUGGAGGCUUGAGGCAUGAGGAUCACAUUCAAAGCCAGCCUCAGCAACGGUGAGGUGCUUAGCAACUCAGUGAGAUCUUGUCUCUA
rnacentral:sRNA from 1 species